UAGGGAAUCUUCCGCAAUGGACGCAAGUCUGACGGAGCAACGCCGCGUGAGUGAAGAAGGAUUUCGGUUCGUAAAACUCUGUUGUUAGAGAAGAACAGCGCAUAGAGUAACUGUUAUGCGUGUGACGGUAUCUAACCAGAAAGCCACGGCUAACUACGUGCCAGCAGCCGCGGUAAUACGUAGGUGGCAAGCGUUGUCCGGAUUUAUUGGGCGUAAAGCGAGCGCAGGCGGUCAAUUAAGUCUGAUGUGAAAGCCCCCGGCUCAACCGGGGAGGGUCAUUGGAAUCUUGUUGACUUGAGUGCAGAAGAGGAGAGUGGAAUUCCAUGUGUAGCGGUGAAAUGCGUAGAUAUAUGGAGGAACACCAGUGGCGAAGGCGACUCUCUGGUCUGUAACUGACGCUGAGGCUCGAAAGCGUGGGUAGCAAACAGG
rnacentral:rRNA from 1 species